AAAUUGAAGAGUUUGAUCAUGGCUCAGAUUGAACGCUGGCGGCAGGCCUAACACAUGCAAGUCGAGCGGUAGCACAGAGAGCUUGCUCUCGGGUGACGAGCGGCGGACG
rnacentral:rRNA from 1 species